AACGAACGCUGGCGGCAGGCCUAAUACAUGCAAGUCGAACGGAUGUAGCAAUACAUUAGUCGCGCACGGGUGCGGAACACGUGGGAACAUACCCUUUGGUAAGGAAUAAUGUCUGGAAACGGACACUAAUACCUUAUAAUUACUUCGGUCUAAAGAUUUAGCGCCAAAGGAUUGGCCCGCGUCUGAUUAGGUGGUUGGUGGGGCAAUGGCCUACCAAGCCUACGAUCAGUAGCUGGGUUGAGAGGAUGAUCAGCCACACUGGAACUGAGACACGGUCCAGAAUCCUACGGGAGGCAGGAGUAAGGAAUAUUGGACAAUGGGCGCAAGCCUGAUCCAGCCAUGCCGCGUGAGUGAAGAAGGCCUUAGGGUUGUAAAGCUCUUUCAAUAGUGAAGAUAAUGACGGUAGCUAUAGAAGAAGCCCCGGCUAAAUUCGUGCCAGCCGCCGCAGUAA
rnacentral:rRNA from 1 species